CUCUUUGACUAUGAACUAGUACUAGUCGGUUAUGUCCUUGCAGAACUUGGAUUAGAAUAUUACCCCUUGAUCACUUCCAUUAUAACAUGACUUGAUCCAAAGACCAUUCAAGAAGUUUAUGGUCACCUUCUUAAUUGAGU